AUGAAGCUAAUACACAAAGGGAUUAACUAAACCGGGAACAACUGGGGAACAUAAACAACAAAGUAAUACAAAAAAGAGACAAUAGAAACUCAAAAAACUCAAACACCUAAUGAUCAUUACAAAAAAUAUAGUGUUCCAAAAGACCCAAGUAGUGUUGCAUCCCCUGAGCUGGGAGCUAUUGGUUUGUGUUGGUGUGUCUCUCUCUCUCUGGCAGGGCGUGACCGGCAGGUGCUGUUCCACAGCUGCAGGUCAUCAAGCGGCAAUCAGGAGGAGCAUAAAAGGGUUGCAUCGUCUUCGAGGCUAAUACAUCGCCUCUCGUCCUGACUAGAGUGCCAACACUGAUCUCCUUGCACUUCUCCUCUGGACUCCAGAAGUAACUCCCUGGGAUUUGCCUCAGUGUACCGGUUUGCUGCUUCUCUGGUUGCCCUCCUGUUGUUAGCUGCUGGAUCUCUCUCAGAUCUCUCUCUUACCUGCCUGUCCGCCCUCCUAUGCUCUCCGCCUGACACGAGACACCAGCCUGAACCAAUCCUCAAACCGUCACCCUCCGACGAUGACACACUUUCCCUCAGAUGAUCGCACCAUAUCCUACAGCUCAUUCCCUCUAAUCAGCAACAUACUUCUACCUGUGGGGUGCGGACAGAUUAAAGGCUACCCCCAGGACCGGAAAAUCUCAGGAAACCCUUAAGAUCUACAGUUCAACCUUUUGGUUCCUCAAGAAUCUGCCUGGCGGCUUGGCUCCUAAAUAUGGUAAACCCUGUGGCUUCAGUAGGAUUGUCAACCUGAGACAAAGAAACGCAUCAGCUCUGUUAUUGGACCUCUCCUGGACUCCUGCUCUUAAGACCCCGACCAGAAGUUCCCUCCCAGCUCCUAGCUUCCAUGGCAACAAAGCUUACCGAGAAGCUAGGUGAGCCUGUCAGUGAGACCAGACCAAUGCUCUCUGUGAACCUCAGAAACGAGACCAGAUAAAUUAAACUGUUUUCCUGUCUCCUGAGUGUGGUUAUGCAUGUGGGUCAAACAAACAUCUAAGAAUAUGACAGUGGGAAUCCAAAAUGUCCACAAGCAAAGACAUUUACAGCUUUUUUGAAAGUUAAGCUUUACAUGUUUAAGUUGAUCAGGGUGCCUUGGAACUGAUAAUCAGUACACCAUCAGUAACAAAGAGGUCCAUUUCUCCCUGGUAACUCUUCAACAUAGGAAAGACAAGGGAACAUGGAGUUCAAAACAAGUAAUGCAGAAGUACUGAGUUUGCUUCUUCCUCUGCUGCCACACCAAAGCCCCAAUACCAUCCUGGAAUUCCACCUACAUAGACAGAUGUCUUUCUCUGCUUCAACAUCCCUGGUUCACCUGAAUAAACUCACCUGCCUGUCUGCCCUCAUCGACUACAGAUAACAAUGGCUGAUCAAGGCUUUUUUGAAGCUUCCACACUUGAUUCAAAAUAACGUGGUUGAUCACUUAAGGCUUCAAUGACAUAGUGCUCGAGUAGGACAUCUAAUGGUAAGUAAAAUCUAGUCCCAUCUCAGUCAGAAGACCUAUUGAAAACCUGUGUGGUGAUUUGAGGAGAAAAGAGUAUUAGUAAUGUUUUGGUCAAGUUGUCCUAUCAGUUCCAUCGCUGAAGCGAUUUCAUUGUUUGCAAAAGUGAAUAACAUCACAGCUGACAUUAAAC